CUGCAGACAGAAGACCACUGCACUUUCCCUCUCUGAGUGUAAACAGGUCACUGGGAAAAACCUGAAUGUUUCUCAGAGUAUUCAGAGCAUGCUAAAAGGGGUCUGAGGGAUGAAUCAGGCCAGGUGAUACAGUUCCUUGGUUUCCUUUUACACAAGAGGUCCAUACAGAGGGUGUUAACUACCUCACACUUCUGGGUUGCAUAUAUGUGGGUACAUAUAUGUGGAUCUGCUAGUCCAGCUGCAACAAGGAAAGCUCAUGGUGGG